UACAGAGACUGCAAGCGUUAUUCGGAUUCACUGGGCGUAAAGGGUGCGCAGGUGCCAGGUGUGUUAGGCGUGAAAGCCCGGGGCUUAACCCGGAAUUGCACCUAAAACUACUUGGCUAGAGCAUUGGAGAGGGGAGCAGAAUUCAUGGUGUAGCAGUGAAAUGCGUAGAGUAUCAAUGAGGAAUACCAGAGGCGAAGGCGGCUCCCUGGACAAUUGCUGACACUCAGGCACGAAAGCGUGGGGAGCAAAAGGG
rnacentral:rRNA from 1 species